rnacentral:rRNA from 1 species
AUUGAACGCUGGCGGCAGGCCUAACACAUGCAAGUCGAGCGAGCGGCGGACGGGUGAGUAAUGUAUGGGGACUGCCCGAUAGAGGGGGAUAACUCCUGGAAACGGUAGCUCAUACCGCAUACUAUCGGAUAACCCAUAUGGGAUUAGCUAGUAGGUGGGGUAAUGGCUCACAUAGGCGACGCUCCCUAGCUGGUCUGAGAGGAUGAUCAGCCACACUGGGACUGAGAAAGGGCCCAGACACCGACGGAGGCAGCAGGGGGGAAGAUUGAACAAUGGGGGCAAGCCUGAUGCAGCCAUGCCGAGUGUAUGAAGAAGGCCCUAGGGUUGUAAAGUACUUUCAGGCGGGAGGAGUUACCGACAGAAGAAGCACCGGCUAACUCCGUGCCAGCAGCCGCGGUAAUAC